GAUCCUGGCUCAGAUUGAACGCUGGCGGCAGGCCUAACACAUGCAAGUCGAACGGUAACAGAAAGCAGCUUGCUGCUUUGCUGACGAGUGGCGGACGGGUGAGUAAUGUCUGGGAAACUGCCCGAUGGAGGGGGAUAACUACUGGAGACGGUAGCUAAUACCGCAUAACGUCGCAAGACCAAAGAGGGGGGACCCUUUCGGGCCUCUUGCCAUCGGAUGUGCCCAGAUGGGAUUAGCUAGUAGGG
rnacentral:rRNA from 1 species